rnacentral:misc_RNA from 1 species
GAUGAAGAACGUAGCGAACUGCGAUAAGUAAUGUGAAUUGCAGAAUUCAGUGAAUCAUCGAGUCUUUGAACGCACAUUGCGCCCCCUGGCAUUCCGGGGGGCAUGCCUGUCCGAGCGUCAUUGCUGCCCUUCAAGCCCGGCUUGUGUGUUGGGUCGUCGUCCCCCCCGGGGGACGGGCCCGAAAGGCAGCGGCGGCACCGCGUCCGGUCCUCGAGCGUAUGGGGCUUUGUCACCCGCUCGAUUAGGGCCGGCCGGGCGCCAGCCGGCGUCUCCAACCUUCUAUUUUACCAGGUUGACCUCGGAUCAGGUAGGGAUACCCGCUGAACUUUAGCAUAUCAAUAAGCGGAGGA